rnacentral:rRNA from 1 species
GACAGAGGUGCCGAGCGUUAGGCGGAAUCACUGGGCUUAAAGCGUGUGUAGGCGGGUCCGUAAGUACCUUGUGAAAUCCCACGGCUCAACCGUGGAACUGCUCGGUAUACUGCGGGCCUUGAGCCAGCUAGGGGCAACCGGAACAAACGGUGGAGCGGUGAAAUGCGUAGAUAUCGUCUGGAACGCCGAAGGUGAAAACAGCUCGCUGGGGCUGCGCUGACGCUGAGACACGAAAGCCAGGGGAGCGAACGGG